CAAAUGCCCAAAGGUCACAGAUCCAAGUGUAAUAUGUGAGGAGAGACUGAAGCAUAAUGAUUUGGUACAACCAGACUCGAAAAAUCUACAACUCCAACGAGAAAAAAACAUUAAAAUAAAUUAUCCAGCAUAGAAUACUUAUUCUUAGCAGCUUAGGGUCAGAAUUUUCAAUUUGAUAACAAACAAGAUAGGGGAAGGGAGUUUUAAAAAAUUACCAGUGGAGUAUUGUAUCCUUUUUUCAUUGUAUAUCAUAAUUGAUGAUCAUGCCUCUUGAUUCAACAUGCCUUUUGGAGUCAGCUCCUGCUGAACUCUUGUCCCCCUUAUACAAGUAAAGUACGUACAUAUUUGGAAUUUAGAAAAAAAGAAAAAUAAAUUGUUUUUUCUGUGAAUGGAGUCCUCAAUUUGUUGUUUGUCUGGAAAGUCGAACUCAUUUCUGGUGAAGGACAUGGUAACCAGAAAGUGAAAUUACAGACAAACACCUGAAAAUAAAUUCCUAGCACCUCUUUAGCGAAACCUGACAAAUCACAGAGUUAAACAAAUCCACAGAAUGGUGAAACCUAAAGUAAUUGAGCUUUUUAAAUCCUCUUUGUGACUGGCUAAAUAGGUAAAAUUUUAAAAGGACUGUCUUUAAAGCAACAUAGUUGAUUUCUAUUAAGCAACAAUACUUUAUUUUUUUUUUCUUCUGUAGGUCUGAUUUAUAGUUCAAGCCCAAGUUUAUGGGCCUAACUGUUACUUGUUCUUUUGAGGGAUGAGGAGUGGAAUUGGUGGGCCUCAGUGGAGGAAAAUAGGUUGAUGUCAUUCACAGCACUCAACCUACUGAAGCUCUAGUCCAAGAACAAAGACUUACGAGGAAGGAGCCAAAGCAGCAUCAAUUUAGAAAGCUUUAAGCAAGAAGGGAACUAUUUCUCAGACUGAGAAUCUCCGGAUUCUAUUCCUGAGUCUUCAAAAGUGGGAAAAACACCCAUCCGGUGGCUGCCCUUUGCCAGAAUUUAUGGUUGGAGCGCUGAAUUCCAGCUGGACUCUCCAUUUGGAACUAACCCGCCACCCUGAAAUUCCCAGGCCUGGUCCGACUCCACACUCCAGCAUUACUGAAAGGAAGCAGAGCGGCCAAGUGGAACGAGUAUUGGACCGGGGAGUACGGAGACCUGGGUUCUAGUCCCAGCUCCACCACUGGCCGGCUGAGAGACCUUGGGUCAGGGCAGACUGCCAGAAUAGCCUUAGCAAUUCCUGUUUGAACCCUGGACCCAAGAAGCUUGGACAGAACUGGACCUGCUUUGGGACAGCAGAGAGGGCCAAACAAUGUUCAACUCACUAUUUCUGGCUCCUUGAUUGGGGAACAUAAAAAAUAGGCUUGUGGUCAUUAAAAAGACAUUUUGGAAAA